rnacentral:rRNA from 1 species
AUUGAACGCUGGCGGCAGGCUUAACACAUGCAAGUCGAGCGGAGAUGAGGUGCUUGCACCCUAUCUUAGCGGCGGACGGGUGAGUAAUGCUUAGGAAUCUGCCUAUUAGUGGGGGACAACAUUCCGAAAGGAAUGCUAAUACCGCAUACGUCCUACGGGAGAAAGCAGGGGAUCUUCGGACCUUGCGCUAAUAGAUGAGCCUAAGUCGGGUUAGCUAGUGGGUGGGGUAAAGGCCUACCAAGGCGACGAUCUGUAGCGGGUCUGAGAGGAUGACCGUCCACACUCGCACUGAGGCACGGCCCAGACUCCUACGGGAGGCAGCAGUGGGGAAUAUUGGUCAAUGGGGGGAACCCUGAUCCGGCCAUGCCGCGUGUGUGAAGAAGGCCUUAUGGUUGUAAAGCACUUUAAGCGAGGAGGAGGCUACUGAGACUAAUACUCUUGGUUAGUGGACGUUACUCGCAGAAUAAGCACCGGCUAACUCUGUGCCAGCCGCCGCAGUAACAC